UGUGGAUUAUUUGUUUUGAAAUAUAUUACCCCAGUGAAGAAAGAGACGCGUCUAAAGUGCCUUCUGCUGCCCUCUCCAUAACACCUCCUGACACCAAGCAACUGCCACCAGUCAAUGCUCAGAAAAUGCCUGUGGCCCAAAAUGACCUGGAAGGAGUUUCAGAAGUCUCAUUUUAUGAGAUGGAAAGAGAGAGAUGGGAGGCAGAAAGCAGAAAACAAAAAAUAAAUUUUGUAAAUGUCCUAUCACAUGCAGUAAACA